ACGACCUUACUUGAACAGGAUCUGUUCUAUAGGCUCGUACCUCUGUGUCCUUGAGUUCGAAGGAGACAGGAAACCAAGUCUGGUGGAUGAAAUAUGACUGCUUGACCAGAGCGUGAUUGACAGCUCUUGCGGCUCACUUAGCGGGCCGCAAGUGCAGUAGAGGAUCGUUCCUAGUCCUUGCUUCAACACAGGCUAGGGUGGUCUUGCAGCUGUCUGACAGACC